CAAGUUUAAUAUUAAAGGCAAGUCCAAGGUCAAGAUGGGCAUAGGGAGGCUUUCGGGAGCUAGUGUAGUUUAUAUUUUGGCCAGUCAGCUGAGGAACCACGUGGAACUAAAAUUAGUAAAGUGUGUGCAGUGAAGAAAGUUCACACGGUGUAAUAUGCUGUGGGCAGUAUUAGCGUUGAUUUACCCAAUCUGUUAAUGGUAUGGUCUGUGUAGACCUUUGGAACAUUCCUUAGCUCCUUAUUUAAUGUAGGAAGAAUCAUUCUAAAAUUAGCAUAUAAAUUAUCCAGUCAGCAGCCCUUUAAAACAGUGUUAUACCCUUGUCAUGGCACAGUAACUAUUUUAAAAAACAGAUUCCCAAUCAGGCACAAUAUCAUGAAGAAGCUCUCAGCUUUAGAUUGCGUGCUGAAAAGAGAGCAUAAACCUGAGAAAAAAUUUUUUUUUUUAAGUAUAAAAUGGGGAAAUGGUCAGGAUUUGAUUUGGGCCUGUAGCCAGGAGUGCGGGUCCCGUUUCAGCCUUGUUUUCCUGCUCCUGUAGAAGGAAUCGAAGAUGAGAGUAGGGCCACACGUCAUUCUUCUACAGCACUGAGGUUUUUACCCUUCAUUUGAAUAUCACUGAAGUACAGAGGUAUGGAUCCCUGAAUAACGUAAUGAAGCCUACUGGCACAGUGUGUACUUUACCUUUUGUGGUCCUUUGGAAACAGCCUAAGGCUUCCCAGGGGUCUGUAGAACAGUCUAAAAACUGUUAAUCAAAACGAAUUGCUUGCUUUUCUGAAGGAGUCUGGCUGUAAGCCGCUCCAGUCACCAGAGCUGUUUCAUUGGGCUCUGAUGGGCAGACACCCUUCCUACAGACUGGAUUAGUAGGUGGGCUAGAUAUGAUGAUUUUGUCCAAAAAGGCCCCCACGCUUACUAGUUAUUUAG
rnacentral:lncRNA from 1 species